GCUAAAUAUUAUUUUCAUCCACAGAAAUUUAAAUAAAAAUCAAGAGCAUAGUCUCAGAAAAUGGAAACAAGGCUUUUAUAAAUAAGGAGGGGAAGAGAGGUUAAAGAGGGGAGAGGAAAGGGGAAAAAAGCAGAAUCGAGAUAUAUCAUGUACAGAUAACCUGGAAGCUUAGACUUGAAGAUGUGGGAGAAUGCACAGAUGUCUCAGCAGCUUUCUGGCAUGGAGACUGCUCUACCUCAUGAGACCCAAGUGACAUCCUCAAAAUGACAGCACCACCACUGCCCCAGAUGUUGAAGAAAGAAGGCUGCUGUGCUGCUCUGCCGACACCUUGGAUUAAGCUCUGGGAGACAUCUGACCUCCAGGACUAUAAGGGCAGAGCUGCCACAAGCCACAAGCGCUGGCUGUUGAGGAGACGCAAGAGCUACUGGAAGCACUCGUAUC
rnacentral:lncRNA from 1 species